CACGUAGGGUGCGAGCGUUGUCCGGAAUUAUUGGGCGUAAAGAGCUCGUAGGCGGUGUGUCGCGUCGACCGUGAAAACCUGCAGCUUAACUGUGGGCGUGCGGUCGAUACGGGCAUCACUGGAGUUCGGCAGGGGAGACUGGAAUUCCUGGUGUAGCGGUGAAAUGCGCAGAUAUCAGGAGGAACACCGGUGGCGAAGGCGGGUCUCUGGGGCCGAUACUGACGCUGAGGAGCGAAAGCGUGGGGGAGCAAACAGG
rnacentral:rRNA from 1 species